rfam:Fervidicola ferrireducens strain Y170 AN618_contig000057, whole genome shotgun sequence.
GAGCCAUUAGCUCAGUCGGUAGAGCACCUGACUUUUAAUCAGGGUGUCCCGCGUUCGAUUCGCGGAUGGCUCA